rnacentral:lncRNA from 1 species
AAAAGGCAAGCAAAGCAAAGCAUCUCCAUGCUAUACCAAGCACGCACACGCGCCUCUCUGCUUUUAGUUUCCUCUGCAGCUCUUCCUCUCUGCAGCUGCUCACAGCAUCCUCUCCUUCCUAGUCACAUACAAGAACACGAGCAGGGGGAGUUUCUUCCAUGGCGGUGGCCACGGAGACUCCGUUCCAUGUCCUGGCCGUGGACGACAGCCUCCCAGACAGGAAGCUCAUCGAGAGGCUCCUCAAGACCUCUUCAUUCCACGUCACCACUGUCGAUUCCGGGAGCAAGGCUCUCGAGUUCCUGGGGAUCCAUGGCGAGGACAGCAGCCCGGUUUCUGUUCAUGCGGAUCAGCUGGUAAGAAGACGGCUUCCUAUGAUAUGACUUGAUAAAAUCAAUAAACCAUGUGUAGUUGUGUUCCUAAUCUGAAGAAAGGUUUCUGAUGUAUCUUGGUCCUGCUACUGCUUUGUUGAUAAUCAGGAGGUCGCGGUGAAUCUGAUAAUCACAGACUACUGCAUGCCUGGCAUGACAGGAUAUGAUCUGCUC